GAUGAACGCUGGCGGCGUGCCUAAUACAUGCAAGUCGAGCGAAUGGAUUAAGAGCUUGCUCUUAUGAAGUUAGCGGCGGACGGGUGAGUAACACGUGGGUAACCUGCCCAUAAGACUGGGAUAACUCCGGGAAACCGGGGCUAAUACCGGAUAACAUUUUGAACCGCAUGGUUCGAAAUUGAAAGGCGGCUUCGGCUGUCACUUAUGGAUGGACCCGCGUCGCAUUAGCUAGUUGUUGAGGUAACGGCUCACCAAGGCAACGAUGCGUAGCCGACCUGAGAGGGUGAUCGGCCACACUGGGACUGGGACACGGCCCAGACUCCUACGGGAGGCAGCAGUAGGGAAUCUUCCGCAAUGGACGAAAGUCUGACGGAGCAACGCCGCGUGAGUGAUGAAGGCUUUCGGGUCGUAAAACUCUGUUGUUAGGGAAGAACAAGUGCUAGUUGAAUAAGCUGGCACCUUGACGGUACCUAACCAGAAAGCCACGGCUAACUACGUGCCAGCAGCCGCAGUAA
rnacentral:rRNA from 1 species